rnacentral:rRNA from 1 species
GACAGAGGGGGCAAGCGUUGCUCGGAAUUACUGGGCGUAAAGGGCGCGUAGGCGGGAUGGCAAGUCGGUCGUGAAAUCCCUCGGCUCAACCGAGGAACGUCGAUCGAUACUGCUGUUCUUGAGGAUUGCAGAGGAGACUGGAAUUCCCGGUGUAGCGGUGAAAUGUGUAGAGAUCGGGAGGAACACCGGUGGCGAAGGCGGGGUCUCUGGGCAAUUCCUGACGCUGAGGCGCGAAAGCGUGGGGGAGCAAACAGG